GUUAGUUAUUUCCGUUAUUUCCAUUAUUUCUCUUAUUUUUCUUACCGGUCAUCUGAAGUACUGGUCUGCGUUUUCUACUCACUAGAGGUUAUUUAUUUCUAUUAUUUCUGUUAUUUCUGUUAUUUCUCUUAUUUCUGUUAUUUCUGUUAUUUCCAUUUUUUCCGUUAUUUCCAUUUUUUUGUUAUUUUUCAUAGCUGGUCACCUGAUGUACUGGAAUGUGUUUCCUGCUCACUGGGGGCUAUUUCCGUUAUUUCUAUUAUUUCCUUUAUUUCCAUUAUUUAUGUUCUUUUUCUUUGUCUGUCAUCUGAAGUGUUGGAGUGUGUUUCCGGAUCCCUGGAGGUUAGUUAUUUCCGUUAUUUCUGUUAUUUUCCUUAGCCGGUCACCUGAAGUACUGGACUGCGUUUCCUGCUCACUGGAGGUUAGUUAUUUCCAUUAUUUUUGUUAUUUAUUUCCCUUAUUUCCGUUUUUUCAGUUUUUUUUCUUAGGCGGUCACCUGAUGUGCUGGAUUGCAUUUUCUGCUCAUUGGAGGUUAUUUAUUUCUGUCAUUUCCGUCCUUUCCGUUAUCAUUCUUAGUCUGUCAUCUGAAAUGCUGGAGUGUGUUUCUGGCUCACUGGAGGUUAUUCAUUUCAGUUAUUUCUGUUAUUUCCGUUAUUUGUCUUAUUCUGUCAUCUGAAGUGCAGGAGUCUGUUUCCGGUUCACUGGAGGUUAUUCAUUUUCGUUAUUUCCGUUAUUUUUGUUAUUGUUCUUAGUCUGCCAUCUGAAGUGCUGGAGUGUGUUUCCAGCUCAGUAGAACUCAUUCGUUUCCAUUAUUUAAGUUAGUUUUGUUAUUUUUCUUAUACAGUCACCUGAAGUACUGGACUGCGUUUCCUGCUCACUGGAGGUUAGUUAUUUCUGUUAUUUCCAUUCUUUUUCUUAGUCUGUCACCUGAUGUGCUGGACUGUGUUUCUUGCUCACUGGCGGUUAUUUCUGUUUUUUCCAUUAUUUUAAUUAGACUGUAACCUGAUGUACUGGACUGUGUUUCCUGCUCACUGGAAGUUAUUUCCAUUAUUUCCAUUAUUUCCUUUAUCUUGUUAUUUUUGUUAUUUUUCUUAACCGGUCACCUGAAGUGCCGGACUGUGUUUCCUGCACACUAGAGAUUAUUACCAUUAUUUCCAUUAUUUCCGUAAUUUCUGUUAUUUCUGUUAUUAUUGUUAUUUCCCAUAUUUCAGUUAUUUCCAUUAUGUCCGUUACUUCCG
ensembl:lncRNA